CAGCAGUAGCCGCGGUAAUACAGAGGGUGCGAGCGUUAAUCGGAUUUACUGGGCGUAAAGCGUGCGUAGGCGGCUUCUUAAGUCGGAUGUGAAAUCCCUGAGCUUAACUUAGGAAUUGCAUUCGAUACUGGGAAGCUAGAGUAUGGGAGAGGAUGGUAGAAUUCCAGGUGUAGCGGUGAAAUGCGUAGAGAUCUGGAGGAAUACCGAUGGCGAAGGCAGCCAUCUGGCCUAAUACUGACGCUGAGGUACGAAAGCAUGGGGAGCAAACAGGAUUAGAUACCCGUGUAGUCCCUGUCUCUUAUAA
rnacentral:rRNA from 1 species